rnacentral:misc_RNA from 1 species
CUCGUAGCUUCACCCAGCAGGCGAAGGUCCACUGCGCCUACUGCGACGGUGCCUACGACCAAGUGGGCUUCGACGAUUUGGAGCUGCAGAUCCACUUCUCAUGGCUGUUCUUUCCGUGGCACCGGUUCUACCUCCAUUUUCAUGAGAGGAUCCUCGGCAAGCUCAUCGGCGACGACAGCUUUGCACUGCCGUACUGGAGCUGGGAUGUUCCAGCCGGCAUGACGUUGCCUCUCAUGUAUACAAAUAGUGCUAGUUCUCUCUACGACAAGCUCAGGGAUGCCAAGCACCAGCCACCAACCCUCGUCGACCUUGACUUCAACGGAGUAGACCCAACCUACACCGCCGCCCAGCAGAUCGACCACAACCUCAAGAUUAUGUACCGCCAAGUCAUCUCCAACGGCAAGACAGCAAGCCUCUUCAUGGGCGCACCCUACCGCGCCGGUGACCAGCCAAGCCCCGGCCCGGGCUCGUUCGAGAACGUCCCUCAUGGCCCCGUCCAUGUCUGGACCGGCGACCGCAACCAGCCCAACGGGGAGGACAUGGGAACAC